CCACUCCAAACCGGGUUAGUGGGGUUUACUAACCCCACUCCCCCUCCCAACUUUAACCCCGCACGCAUCCCGAGCCCUCACCUUUUUCUUCUUUAUCAAUCAUUAACCCCACUCCCCUCCUAACUUUAACCCCGCACGCAUCCCGAGCCCUCACCUUUUUCUUCUUUAUCAAUCAUUAUCUUCUUAUCCCACCUACUCCAACCAAACACUUUUUUUCACUAUCCUAGACUAACUCCAACCUCCAAUCAAACACAAAAAAAUUUUAACACCAUUUUAACCCUGAACUUAACCCUAUCCCUGGAAUAACUACUUUUUCUUAACCCCGAACCAAACGGUGGCCUAGAGUUAAAAUCUGUUAAUUAACUCUGUUAUCUUUAUAAAAUUACUAUUUUGCCCUUUCAAAUAUACCCUUCCAUCAUCAUUGACUUUCUUAUUUGCCCUUAAAGUCAGAGACACAAAAAGUAUUUUGACUUUUGGUCUUUUCCAAUAUAUCCCUCUAUCAUCACCAACAUUUCUUAUUUGCCCUUAAGUUAAGGGCAAAAUUUGUAUUUUAUUUUUUUUAACUGUGAUAGAUAUUUAACUUACGUUUAACCCAAGUUAACUUAACGGGAGAUAACUGCAGGGGUAUUUUGCAAUAACGGUGGAACAUAUGAGGGGUAUUUUAGAAAGAAAAAAAAGUAGGGAUAAAUCGGAUAUUUUCAAACGUAUGAGGGGUAUAUAGGCAAUUAUCCCUAUUUAAAAAUAGCCGUUUACAUAAUAAUAUAUGCUAGUUUUUAUAUUUAUAUGUAUACAAUUUUUUUAAAAAAGUAUAAAAAUUUUUAUUUUUAUUUUUUUAGAAAGG
rnacentral:lncRNA from 1 species